rnacentral:rRNA from 1 species
AACGAACGCUGGCGGCAUGCCUAACACAUGCAAGUCGAACGAGAUCUUCGGGUCUAGUGGCGCACGGGUGCGUAACGCGUGGGAAACUGCCCUUUGGUUCGGAAUAACAGUUGGAAACGACUGCUAAUACCGGAUGAUGACGAAAGUCCAAAGAUUUAUCGCCAGAGGAUGAGCCCGCGUAGGAUUAGCUAGUUGGUGUGGUAAAGGCGCACCAAGGCGACGAUCCUUAGCUGGCCUGAGAGGAUGAUCAGCCACACUGGGACUGAGACACGGCCCAGACUCCUACGGGAGGCAGCAGUGGGGAAUAUUGGACAAUGGGCGAAAGCCUGAUCCAGCAAUGCCGCGUGAGUGAUGAAGGCCCUAGGGUUGUAAAGCUCUUUUACCCGGGAUGAUAAUGACAGUACCGGGAGAAUAAGCCCCGGCUAACUCCGUGCCAGCAGCCGCGGUAA